GGGCAUGUAGUGUAGGGGUUAUCGCGCCUCAUUCGCAGAGAUUGAGGAGGUCCCCGGUUCAAUUCCGGGCUUGUCCA
rnacentral:tRNA from 1 species